GAUGCAGAACGUAGCGAAACGCGAUAGUUAAUGUGAAUUGCAGAAUUCAGUGAAUCAUCGAGUCUUUGAACGCACAUUGCGCCCCCUGGUAUUCCGGGGGGCAUGCCUGUCCGAGCGUCAUUGCUGCCCAUCAAGCGCGGCUUGUGUGUUGGGCCGCCGUCCGCCUUCCCCCCCGGGGGGAGGGGGACGGGCCCGAAAGGCAGCGGCGGCACCGCGUCCGGUCCUCGAGCGUAUGGGGCUCUGUCACCCGCUCUGGAGGCCCGGCCGGCGCCCGCCGACCCCCAACCUUCUUCUAACCAGGUUGACCUUGGAUCAGGUAGGGAUACCCGCUGAACUUAAGCAUAUCAAUAAGCGGAGGA
rnacentral:misc_RNA from 1 species